CGACCGGCAAAGGGUGCGGAAACGUACGCAAUCUACCUCUUUCAGGGGCAUAGCCCGAAGAAAUUCGGAUUAACUCCCCAUAAGAUAAUGGAGUGGCAUCACUCAGUUAUUAAAACUCAGGUGGAAAGAGAUGAGCGUGCGUCCCAUUAGCUAGUUGGUAGGGUAACGGCCUACCAAGGCAACGAUGGGUAGCUGGUGUGAGAGCACGACCAGCCACACGGGCACUGAGACACGGGCCCGACUCCUACGGGAGGCAGCAGUGAGGAAUAUUGGUCAAUGGACGCAAGUCUGAACCAGCCAUGCCGCGUGAAGGAUGAAGGCGUUCUGCGUUGUAAACUUCUUUUAUCUGGGAAGAAACCUACUUUUUCUAAAGUAGCCGACGGUACCAGAGGAAUAAGCACCGGCUAACUCCGUGCCAGCAGCCGCGGUAAUACGGAGGGUGCAAGCGUUAUCCGGAUUCACUGGGUUUAAAGGGUGUGUAGGCGGACAUUUAAGUCCGAGGUGAAAUCUCCGAGCUCAACUCGGAAACUGCCUUGGAUACUAUUUGUCUUGAAUAUCGUUGAGGCAGGCGGAAUAUGUCAUGUAGCGGUGAAAUGCUUAGAUAUGACAUAGAACACCGAUUGCGAAGGCAGCUUGCUAAACGAUCAUUGA
rnacentral:rRNA from 1 species